rnacentral:rRNA from 1 species
UACGGAGGGGGCAAGCGUUAUUCGGAAUCAUUGGGCGUAAAGGGCGCGUAGGCGGCUUGGCAAGUCAAAGGUGAAAUCCCUCGGCCUAACCGAGGAACUGCCUUUGAAACUGCUUGGCUUGAGGCCGGGAGAGGGUAGCGGAAUUCCCAGUGUAGCGGUGAAAUUCGUAGAUAUCGAGAGGAACACCGGUGGCGAAGGCGGCCAACUGGACGAAGACUGACGCUGAGACACGAAAGCGUGGGGAGCAAACAGG